AAGAACAAAUAAACGGGUCAGUGCGUCUGGCUGUUAACCAGAAGGUUGGUGGUUCAAGCCCACCCAGGGUUG